rnacentral:tRNA from 1 species
GGGGCCAUGGCUCAAUGGGAGAGCACCCGGCUGGCGUCCGGGAGAUCCGGGUUCGAUUCCCGGUGGUUCCA